AGUGAACGCUGGCGGCGUGCCUAAUACAUGCAAGUCGAACGAAGUGGGGCACGGGUGAGUAAUAUAUAUUUGAUCUUCCCUACACAGGGGAACAACAGUUGGAAAAGACUGCUAAUACCUCAUAGUGUAGGAUGAGAGUAUAUCGUAUCAGCUAGUUGGUAAGGUAAUGGCUUACCAAGGCGAUGACGCGUAACUGGUCUGAGAGGAUGAUCAGGAACAUUGGAAGUGAGGCACCGUCCAGACUCCUUCGGGAGUGGGCAGUAAGGUGUUGCACGCAAUGGGCGAGUCCCUGACGCAGCAUCGCGGCGUGGAGUAUGACAAUUUGCGGGGCAUACACUCCUUUUAAUAGGAAAGCGGUACCUGCUGAAGAAGCACCGGCUAACUCCGUGCCAGCAGCCGCGGUAAUAC
rnacentral:rRNA from 1 species